rnacentral:tRNA from 1 species
GCAUCCGUAGCUCAAUUGGAUAGAGCAUCUGACUACGGAUCAGAAGGUUCCAGGUUCAACUCCUGGCGGAUGCACCA